UACGGGGGGGGCAAGCGUUGUUCGGAAUUACUGGGCGUAAAGGGCUCGUAGGCGGCCAACUAAGUCAGACGUGAAAUCCCUCGGCUUAACCGGGGAACUGCAUCUGAUACUGGAUGGCUUGAGUUCGGGAGAGGUAAGCGGAAUUCCUGGUGUAGCGGUGAAAUGCGUAGAUAUCAGGAGGAACACCUGCGGUGUAGACGGCUUACUGGACCAUAACUGACGCUGAGGCACGAAAGCGUGGGUAGCAAACAGG
rnacentral:rRNA from 1 species